GGUCUGUUAACGAUUUGUGUUAUCAAAGAGUGAAUAUGUUUGGAAGUUGGAACUGAUGAUUAGUGACGACAAUGUGCUCUCUAGUUGCUUGCAAAUGUGAAUGAUAUUUAUUAUGUCUUAUGUCUCAUCAAAAUAUCACUCUCAUAUGUUUUAUUAGUUAGUUAGUAGCAAUUGACUCUCUUUGCAACCACAUAGCUUGAUGGGUUAUCGUAGAAAGUUUAGUCAUAUUUGAUAUGAAUACGGGCACAAAGCAGAUGCAUACAUGUUUUAUAUGAAUUUAGGAAACUGACCAGAAAUUCUUAUCUUGUAUUGUAGGUUACAUCACCAUAUGGCAGCGUUUUGCACCACAGUGAAAACGCUACGCAUGGUCAGUUUGCGUUUACAACCCAAGAAUCAGGAACCUACUUGGCCUGUUUUGAGGCUGUAGGGAAUAGUCACGGCAACAAGGAUAUCAGCAUCAACCUUGACUGGAAAACUGGAAUCGCGGCCAAGGAUUGGGACUCCAUUGCCAGAAAAGAGAAAUUGAUUGCUCGGAUUCAAGUUUCCUUAUCUUGAAAACGUUUAUGCUAAUGAUUUGGCGUUAAUGUUCUUUGAUUGUUCAAGUUGUGCAUUUAACUGUUAAGGUAAUGGAACAAAACCAUCUAGCUGAUUCACUAAUGUAUGAAAAGAGAUUUCUAUGUGAUUUUGAUAAGAGAAUCAUAUUGACACAAGGGUUGUGCAAAUAGACCGUUUUGUGAAUAUAAUGUAUAUUCAUCAGUUCUUGAUAUAUCGACGGUCUUGGGCAUACGCUACGCAUGGUCAGUUUGCGUUUACAACCCAAGAAUCAGGAACCUACUUGGCCUGUUUUGAGGCUGUAGGGAAUAGUCACGGCAACAACGAUAUCAGCAUCAACCUUGACUGGAAAACUGGAAUCGCGGCCAAGGAUUGGGACUCCAUUGCCAGAAAAGAGAAGAUCGAGGUCAGCUCUCCAUUUCCCAAUAAAAUUUUACAAUUUGCACUUAAAAAUAUUCAACACACUUAUAAGAGUAGUUUGUGGAAUAAAGUUAAGUCUCUAUACGAAGCACUAUUAUGCAUUAAAUCGUA
rnacentral:lncRNA from 1 species